GACGAACGCUGGCGGCGUGCCUAAUACAUGCAAGUCGAACGCACUCUCGUUUAGAUUGAAGGAGCUUGCUCCUGAUUGAUAAACAUUUGAGUGAGUGGCGGACGGGUGAGUAACACGUGGGUAACCUGCCCUAAAGUGGGGGAUAACAUUUGGAAACAGGUGCUAAUACCGCAUAAAACCUAACACCGCAUGGUGUAGGGUUGAAAGAUGGUUUCGGCUAUCACUUUAGGAUGGACCCGCGGUGCAUUUGUUAGUUGGUGAGGUAAAGGCUCACCAAGACCGUGAUGCAUAGCCGACCUGAGAGGGUAAUCGGCCACACUGGGACUGAGACACGGCCCAGACUCCUACGGGAGGCAGCAGUAGGGAAUCUUCCACAAUGGACGAAAGUCUGAUGGAGCAACGCCGCGUGAGUGAAGAAGGUUUCGGAUCGUAAAACUCUGUUGUUGGAGAAGAAUGUAUCUGAUAGUAACUGAUCAGGUAGUGACGGUAUCCAACCAGAAAGCCACGG
rnacentral:rRNA from 1 species